CGGACAAAUCACCUUGAAACACGGGUACGAUCACCGAAGUUAAGCAACGUCGACCUUGGUCAGUACCUAGAUGGGUGACCACUUGGAAAUACCAGGUGGUGUAAG